rnacentral:rRNA from 1 species
GACGUAGGUGGCGAACGUUAUCCGGAAUUAUUGGGCGUAAAGGGUGCGUAGAUGGCCUGAUAAGUUAGCAGUGGGAAAUCGAGGCUCAACCUCGUGGAAGCUGGUAAUACUGUCAGGCUCGAGUGCAGGAGAGGUUAACGGAACUCCAUGUGGAGCGGUAAAAUGUGUAGAUAUAUGGAAGAACACCAAUAACGGCGAAGGCAGUUAACUAUUCUGUUACUGACAUUGAGGCACGAAAGCGUGGGGGAGCAAAACGG